rnacentral:lncRNA from 1 species
UGUGCAAGGACCCUGAAAUCGGUGUGCAAGGAGAAAAAAGCUGUCUGCAGCUUGGAAGAGAUCUUUAUCUUGGGGAUGCUUACAGGUGAAAUCAAUGGGUUUAGUCAUCUCUUUGAAUGCAGUGGAGGUGAUACUAUGGUCAUAAUGACCAGGGGCUGGGUCAGAAGAACUUCAGAUUGAGCCUCUUGAAACAUUUGCUCUUGGAAUUCUCCCUCUCAGGAAACUAACAGCCUGCUAUGAAGCCCAAGCCACAAAGAGAGGCCAAGGGGAAAUAAACAGAGUGUGAUUAUAUGCAAAACCUACAAGAAUGAGGACCUCCAAACUCAGUGUACAGAGUGAUUUUCUGCUGAAACAAUUGGAAAAUAAAAGAGACAUCAGUGUGUGAAUGACGACUUUCUGUUGCUGACUUGGAAGACAGAGGAAUUGGGUCAUGAGCCGAGGAAGGUGGGCAGCUUCUAAAAGGCGGAAAAGUGGCUGAAGUGAGAGGAAGCGAGGAUAUGGCUGACAUUCUCCAAGAAGCAGUGACUUCAGAAGAUGACUGGCAUCUUGAACUUCAGGAAAAUGCUUGGCCUUUUUAACUCUGAAAGUCUGUUUGAAACUCAGAAGAAGAAAAUUAGGUGAAUACAAAACUGCUGCCAAACUUAGAAACUUGGUUAAAUAUCCUGCAGAAAAUAUCAUGGGCUUUUCAGAGUCCAGUUAAAUAUCUACAGAUUAUAUUUCCAGUUUCAUACCUGGGGCAUUAACUCUAUUCAUUUUACUAGCUUUAGUGAAUUUUACUUCUGGAGCAUAACAUUGCAUUGAAAAUGUGUCCUCUAACCUAUGAUAUUUAUGUAUCGUUUAAUAUGAAAUUUAUGAGGUUCCAUUUCUGAUUUCCAAAUGGAUGCAAAUUAGAACACAGGAUAUUUACAUUCUUUCAUUUCUAACCCACAUACAUAAAGUUUGACUUUAAAAUGCCACUGUUCGUGUCUGUUUCAUAGAAGCUCUAGGUAUUUAUACGUCCAUUGUGUCUCUGGCACACUCUGAAUUCCAGUUUUUAAUCUAAUAUUGGGCAGGAAUUGGCUAUAAAAAUACAAUGCCAUUGAGGACAGAGCUGGAUUGCUUUUUUUCUGUUAAUUCUUGAGAACUUUAUAGUUUCUCAGGGAAGUAUAAUUUGUAACCACAUCAUCAUCUAACACUUUUCCUGUCUUUUUUGGAGAUUGACAGUUGAAAAUCUAUAAGAUCUUUUUGCAACUAAGAUCAGGAAAAA